UACCUGGUUGAUCCUGCCAGUAGUCAUAUGCUUGUCUCAAAGAUUAAGCCAUGCAUGUGUAAGUAUGAACAAAUUCAGACUGUGANAUUAUAGUUUGUNAUAACCGUAGUAACUUUAGAGCUAAUACGUGCAACAAACCCCGACUUCUGGAAGGGAUGCAUUUAUUAGAUAAAUGGUCGACGCGGGCUUUGCCCGUUGCUGCGAUGAUUCAUGAUAACUCGACGGAUCGCACGACCAUCGUGCCGGCGAUGCAUCAUUCAAAUUUCUGCCCUGUCAACUUUCAAUGGUAGGAUAGUGGCCUACCAUUGUGGUGACGGGUGACGGAGAAUUAGGGUUCGAUUCCGGAAAGGGAGCCUGAGAAACGGCUACC
rnacentral:ncRNA from 1 species